UUUUUUUGUUGUUUUUUUUUUUUUGCUUUUCAGGGCCACACCCGAGGCAUAUGGAGGUUGCCAGGCUAGGGGUCGAAUCAGAGCUACAGCUGCUGGCCUACACCACAGCCACAGCAACUUUAGAUCCAAGCUGCAUCUGUGACCUACACCACAGUGCACAGCAAUGAUGGAUCCUUAACUCACUGAGCGAGGCCAGGGAUCAAACCCGUGUCCUCAUGGUUCCUAGUCAAAUUCAUUUCCGCUGCGCCACGAGGGGAACUCCCAGGAGUCAGUUUAAUGUAGUGGCUAAGACCUUGGCCUUUAGAGCUUAACUACCUAGAAAUGGGAUACUGCCUUUACCAUAUAUUGACCACAGGACCAACUACCUUACCUAUCUAACCUUAACUUUCCUCCAUAAGCAUGAUACUAAUAAUGGCAUCUACCACAUAAGAAUACUGUAAGAAUUAUUAAAAAUAAUUAUAUGCAACUAUAUAUAUAGACAUGUAUGUUACAUUCUAUAAUAUAUGGAAAGCAUUUAGGAUGGUUUUUGGUAUAUGGGAAGCACAGAGUAAACCUCAUAAUCUUACUCCCUCCUGCCUCUAAGACCUUCAAAUUCUAUCUUAAAAUCAUAGGGGACCAAUAAAGGCUCUUAAGCAAAGGAACAACUUGAUCAGGUUUUUGUUUUACAAAAACUACUCAAGUGAUGGAGUUCCUGUCAUGACGCAGUGGUUAACAAAUCUGACUAGGAACCAUGAGGUUGCAGGCCCACGAUGGGAACUCCAAGGUUUACUACCUAUGUUUUCUUCUAGGAGCUUUAGGGUUUUGGAUCUUACAUUAAAGUCUUUAAUUCAUUUUGAGUUUAUUUUUGCAUAUGGUAUGAAAAAAGUGAUACAGUUUCAUCCAUUUUCAUGUAUCUGUCCGGUUGUCCCAACACCAUUUAUCAAAGAGACUGUUUUCUCUCUACUAUACAGUUUACCCUUGAACAACACAGGUUUUAACUGUGCUGGUCUACUUAAAUAUGUAUUUUUUACACUAAAUACAUACUACAGUACUACACUAUAAAUGGCUGAAUAUGCAGAUGUGUAACCAGAGAUAUGAAGGGUCAACUGUAAAUCUAACUCAGAUUUUGACUGUACAGAGAGUUGGUGACCCUAAGCCCAUAUUGUUCAAGGGUCGACUGUAUAUUCCUACCUCUUUGUCAUAGUUUAAUCGACCAUAUAAUGGUAGGUUUAUUUCUGGGUUCUCUAUUCUGUUCCAUUGGUCUGUUUUCGUGCCAUUACCAUACUACUUUGAUGAAUACAGAUUUGUAGCAGACUUUGAAAUCAUUGAGCAUGACACCUCCAUCCUUGUUCUUUCUCAAUACCACUUUGGCUAUUCAAGGUCUUUUGUGAUUCCAUGUAAAUUUUAGGAUUAUUUAUUCUAAUUCGGUGAAAAAUACCAUUGGUAUUUUGAUAGGGUUUGUAUUGAAUCUAUAGAUUCUCUUUUCUUUCAUCCGUCUCCAGUUUCCAGAAUACAGGUCUUUCACCUUCCUAGGUAGGUUUAUUUCUAGCUAUUUUACUUUUUCUGAUGCUAUUGUAUACAGGGUGGUUUCCCUAGCUUUUCUUUUUGAUAGUUUAUUAUUAGCAUUUAGAAAAGCAACAGAUUGCUAUAUAUUAGUUUUGUAUCCUGGAACAGCUUGAGUGGAUUCAUUUAUUAGCUCUAAUAGUUUUUCAUUGGAGUCUUUUGAGUUUUCUAUACAUAACACCAUGUCAUCUACAAAUAGUGACAGUAGUGCAUCUUCCUUUCCAAUCUGGAUGCUCCUUCUUUCUUUUUUCUUGUCUUAUUGCCGUGGCUAGGACUUCUGUAACUAAGCUGUGGGGCUCCCGGGCACAAAAGCUAUUUCUUAUUUUUAAGAAAUGGGCCUCUUUCAACCUCCAUGACCUUCCCUGAGUUCCAAGGGGAAGGUUCAGACAGCUGCUGAUCAGGAAAAAAAGGUGAUGCAAAGAUAAAGUAGGAACAGUCAAUAAUAAUACAGCUUUGGGGCAGGGUACUGGUUCCCUCUCAAGGGAUACCCAUAAUGACAUAAGCAUCUUAUACACCUAAGAGAAAAGUUAUAUUCUUUAUAUUGCUUUUAGAAAUGAAUACUUUAAAACUGAAUGGCUUAGAGCCCUUCCUUGUGCUUCUCCCUCAUUGGACUGCAUGCUAAACAUGAUUGCCUACAAGCUAAAUGUUAGGCACUCUAAGCACAACUGCCUGUGAGUUAAAGAUUAUUAAUUAGCACAUGGUGUUUUUCAGAAACAUUUCUAGUUUGCUCUAAUCUCUGAUCAAUACAGCCUUUUUGCAAAUACUGUCAUUCUAGGCAAUGAACCAGAAGACCACCACCAGGAUCAGGCUGAGAUCUCCUGAUGCCAGUUUUAAUGACUAAGAUUCCCCUAAAGAAAGAAGAAUGCGUGUUUGUCCCAAUCCUGAUUCCUAUCUGAAACUCUAUUUUCCUGCUUUUAGGCUAUUAAACUCCCUUCAAUUUUCCCCCAAAGAGGGCACAGUCUUUAGGCAUUAGCUUUCUGUCCUCCUUUGCCUGGUAGAGAAAUUUUAAAGCUGUUUUUUCUCCUUCAACCAAAACUCUGUCUCUGUGAUUCUAUUCAGCACAAAGGCCCAAUUUCAGCAACACUUCAGCAAUACUAUGCUGAAAAAAGUGGCAAGAGGGAGUUCCCGUUGUGGCGCAGUGGUUAAGGAAUCUGACUAGGAACCAUGAUGUUGCGGGUUCUGUCCCUGCCCUUGCUCAGUGGGUUAACGAUCCAGCGUUGCCAUGAGCUGUGGUGUAGGUCGCAGAUGCGGUUCGGAUCCCGCUUUGCUGUGGCUCUGGCGUAGGCUGCUGGCUACAGCUCCGAUUGGACCCCUAGCCUGGGAACAUCCCAUAUGCCAAGGGAGCGGCCCAAGAAAUGGCAGAAAGACAAAAAAAAAAAAAAAAAAAAAAAAGU
rnacentral:lncRNA from 1 species